AGCUUAUAUUAUAUGAUAUUAUAUUAUACUUUUUAACAAUAUAUUGCAUUUUGUCUCGUUUUUUUUUUUUCUAUUAAUUCUUUAAAUCCAACAUAAAUACAGUAUAUCACUGAUAACAAAUGAUCCUUAUUAACUCGUGUUUGUUUUGAUAAACAGGAAUGUUCAUUAUGAAAAUUCUGUUUUUCCAGUGUGUGUCUGAGCAACUAUUCUGGGCUCCCUGUGAAAAUGCCGCUACAAAGAGAAACAACAGUGGAAAAUGAAAAACAAUGCCAGAAUCUCACUUGGACUGGUAAUAGAAUAAGAUCAUUCCUACGCCCUGGUUCUUCUGAGACAAAAUGGGAAGGUGUUAAAUCGGU
ensembl:lncRNA